UAACCCGCAGUCCGUUAAAUAAUAUGGAAAAAAUACCCAUCCCCAAUUCGUGCGGCCGCGCACCCCACCGAUGGAUCCGCCGCUCCCCCCCGCCGCCGGCACGCCAUCCUCCGCCGCGCCGUCCUCCCCGCACCCUGGCCUGUAUCCUCUCCGCCGCGCCCUCCUCCCCGCGUCGUCCGAGUCCUCCGGGCGCGGUUCGCCGAAGGCGAGGCCCAGGCCGAUGCGCUCCUGGCCCGCGCCGGCCGGUUCGAGCGCACGCCGCCGACCGCGACCAGCUGCUCAUCACGCUCCUCUCCGAUGCGGGAAACGGCCGAGAGGAGGAGGACGCGCGGGAGGCGGGGCAGCGUCCGAUCCGGCCGAGGCUUACGGCGACACGGACGCGGAGGCUCUGGUAGCUGUCGCUGCGCUCCCUCCGUUCACUACCUUCCCGAUGGCUUUCUCUGUUCAAUUGCUUAAUUUGGUUGUCUUGUCUUACCUGAACUGCAAGGGAACCAACAUACAUGGCAUGAUGGAUGGAGAUCAGUAGAUGUUUUUUUGUUCUGUUCACAUGCUUUCUAAUAGUUUCCAUAGGAUUAUAGGCAUGAGCUUUGAGCAAUAGGCAUAAAUUUGUUGUAAUCAAUCAAAGGCAGUGAGAACGUUUACUGAAAUCUUUAGAAGUGGGGAUCCUCUGAAUUGCUUUGAUUGAACGUCCAACGAGGAUCUCAUCUUAUAGUAACUCUGAAACAUUGUAUUGGUAGUUUUUAUCUUUACACUUUUGCCUUCUGUACAUACUGGAUUGCAUUGUUUAGGACACGACAAAGCGCUGCAAGCAGCUCAUGAGAGUAGUUAGCAAACGCAAAUCAUUGUAUAUGUCACUUAUGCUUCUCUUAAUAGAAAAUAGUACUAUUUUGGAGAAGAGCAUCUGGCUGACUUUCAAUAAAACUCUUCAGGUUUUGUUUGGUGAGAUUCUCUUCAGAAAACAAGAUUUGUAUUGGUGGUAGAUCGACAGCAACUGACAACAUCUUCGUCAUCCGCGGUGGCAGUGCCAUGCCAUCCGUGCGGAAUGCCUUCUGCGGCCGCGCCGCCACCACCGCCACCGCCAUGCAGCCAAUGAUGUCAGCAUGUGGUGAAAAAAGGGCCCAAGUGAAAGGUCGACCAAGCUGUAAAAAUUCAGUGAGAGGAAAUUUUGUGCUCACAGCUCACACCAUGGCGUCCGUUGCCUCUGUUCUUACUUUAUUAUUUUGUUUUUCCCUUCGUCGAUUUUUCACGUUGCCUGACAAGAACAAGAAUUGCAAAGGAGAAGUGAAAAGAAAACACAGAACAAAGGAUGAACGCCGGAGAGCACUACUAUAUAAUUUUCCCCCAAAAUAUGAUGGGCAGUGGUGUGCUUGUUUGCAUUGAUCGCAUGGUGGCCGGCACUUCACCACACAUCGUACGGCGACUGUUUUAUCCAUGAGGUGGAGGAUAAGAGAAGCGCAUCUCUGAAAUUCACAGUUCUGAACCUAAAGAGACACAUCUAGAAAAUGAUUGCACGAGUGGUUCCAGUGUCAUGUACAUCAACAUGGUUGGAGAUUUGGGAUCGGAUGCUGCGCCAAGAGCGAGGGACCGAGGUGCUGAACUAACAGCAGGGGGGAGGGUGAUUCUUCAGUGUAGGGAUGUUGUAUCUGAUUAACAAAACAUUGUUCAACCUUCUACGAGUCCACCUAGGGAGCUGCACAAAUUUGAAACAACUUCCAGAACAUGCAUCCAAGCAUUUUGGUCUGCUACCAGUAAGUUGCCAGAGCAAGAUAGCUGGGAGUCUGGGAUGUCGAGUCGUCGAGCCGUCCAAUGCCAAGUUCGCCAGCGGAAGGAGAACAUCCGUCAAGGCGUCCGUCGCCUGAGGCGGCUACACCAGAGGUCCGUGGGUUACUACUCCUUUGCUCUUGCUGGCGACCGGCCUCCAGUGUAGCACUUGCUUGAGAUCUGAUCUAGAACUGAAUUGUGCCCUGCUUUGCUGUGGUCGUAUGCUCUGUGUCCACCGAUGAGUUUCAGAUACAGAUUAGGACCAAAAUUGGAGUAGGUUCAGUCGCGCAAAUGUUGUAUCACUUUGUCAUGGGUAUUGUGCUGCUGAAUUGCUUGUUGGACUGUUCAAACUAAAGUCGUCCAGUCAGUUUGCUACAAUGUUCAUUUGUUUACUUUGGAAGUUCUGUAGAAUUUGGGCCUGAUCACUUUUGAAUUUGUCUGUGGUUUGAGAUUAAUCUUUCCGAGAUGUUAGAGAGUGGGUCCAAGGAUGGAUCUGCCCAUCAGUGUGCAGAGGAUCUUCUAAUUCCUGCAGCUAAUCUUGAUUCAUGGAUAUUGUGUUUGCUCUGUGGCGCACUAUGUUUCAGUUUAUUUUUUCUGAAAAAUUGGCGCUACUUC